rnacentral:rRNA from 1 species
GACGAACGCUGGCGGCGUGCUUAACACAUGCAAGUCGAACGGAAAGGCCCUGCUUUUGUGGCGUGCUCGAGUGGCGAACGGGUGAGUAACACGUGAGUAACCUGCCCUUGACUUUGUGAUAACUUCAGGAAACUGGGGCUAAUACCGGAUAGGAGCUCCUGCUGCAUGGUGGGGGUUGGAAAGUUUCGGCGGUUGGGGAUGGACUCGCGGCUUAUCAGCUUGUUGGUGGGGUAGUGGCUUACCAAGGCUUUGACGGGUAGCCGGCCUGAGAGGGUGACCGGGGACAUGGGGACUGAGAGACGGCGCAGACGCGAACGGGAGGCAGUAGUGGAGAACAUUGCAGAAUAGGGGGAAGUCUGAUGCAGCAACGCCGCGUGCGUGAUGACGGGCUUCUGGUGGUAAACCGCUUUCGCCGGUGACGAAGCGUUAGUGACGGUAAUGGGUAAAGAAGCACCGGCUAACUACGUG